CCUACGGGUGGCAGCAGUGAGGAAUAUUGGUCAAUGGACGAGAGUCUGAACCAGCCAAGUAGCGUGAGGGAUGACUGCCCUAUGGAUUGUAAACUUCUUUUAUAUGGGAAUAACAUGUUCCACGUGUGGGAUUUUGUUUGUACCAUAUGAAUAAGCAUCGGCUAACUACGUGCCAGCAGCCGCGGUAAUACGGAGGAUCCGAGCGUUAUCCGGAUUUAUUGGGUUUAAAGGGAGCGUAGGUGGAUUGUUAAGUCAGUUGUGAAAGUUUGCGGCUCAACCGUAAAAGUGCAGUUGAAACUGGCAGUCUUGAGUACAGGAGAGGUGGGUGGAAUUCGUGGUGUAGCGGUGAAAUGCUUAGAUAUCACGAAGAACUCCGAUUGCGAAGGCAGUUCACUGGACUGCAACUGACACUGAGGCUCGAAAGUGUGGGUAUCAAACAGGAUUAGAUACCCGAGUAGUC
rnacentral:rRNA from 1 species